GUGUGGAGUGGAUGUGGGACAGGCCUCAUGCUUGGCACAGGGGACCCUAGUCUGCACUCAAGUUGUGUCCCCUCUAGGAAAAAAGGAAGACAAGGUCAGGACAUCUUGAGCCAUGAGCAGACCAUUCCUCAGGUGGCUGAACUUUCCUGGAAGGAUGUUAUUAAUGCCUUGUCCCUGGCCAACAUGGUCCUGGGGCUCUUCUCCAUCUUCUGCAGCUUCAGCAGGAAAUCCCACUGUGCUUCCUGGAUGCUUUUGAUCAGCUUCCUGUUAGACAUGGCAGUAGGGACGAUGAUCAGGCACCUCAACAUCUGCCACAAAUUAGGACUUGAACUGAAUGACUUCGCUGUCUUCACCACCUUUGGCCUGGCCUCGGCUCUGCUCCUUGGUGUGGAUGGGCCUCUGAAUGGGUUCCUGGCCGUCAUCUAUGUGUUAACCACUUCCUUCCGCCUGUGUUUUUACUCAACUGGAGGUCCCUCUGCAUACAAAGGUCUACCUUGUCCCUAUGCUUCCUGUGUUUUGGCCUCCACCUGCCUACUGACAAAGGGCAACACAUUUAUACUCUGCUGCAUGGCUUCACUCAUGAUUCUGUUCAUGAUCGACCAGAGUUGCUACCCACAUGAUGAAAUCCUGGAGUCAGAGAACUGGAAAAAAGUGGUUUAUACGGGAGGUGUCAUCAUGCUGUUUUUCUCCCCGUUCUCGCUCACUGCCCUCUACUGCCUGAUCUGGUCGCUCUCCUACAUCUUCUUCCCAGAUGCCCUGUGGGGCAAGGGGUGGAUAUUUAUACAUCAUCAACCAGGAGAAAGUACAAGAGCCAGGUGCUGGGAUGAGAGUCUGUAACCACAGCACUCAAGAGGAUCUCAAGUUGGAGGCCAGCUUGGACUACACAGCAAACUCUGUCUCAAAUAGAGAAGAAAAGACAAGAAAUAUCCUUUUAAAAGUCGAGCAGUUAGGGGGCUGGGGAAGUGCUCAAAAAACCAUAUUUAUUUAGCUGGAAGUCCAGAACUCUGUCCAUUUACCCCUUAAAGCGAAGAAGCAUGGUCGGGCCUGAUUUUGUGAUUGGCUGUAAUCCCACCACUCAAGAGGCAGAUGUAGGAGGAUUACAAGUUUGAGGCCAACCUGGACUAUGUAGUGAGAUGUUGUCUAAAAAUAAGACAAAUAAAACUUGGGCGAAGGGGCAGAGACAAAGGCUGAUUAUGACUGCCAAUACAUAGGUCUAUAGGAGAGGUAAGUUGUCGUGUUUCAGGGUGAGAACAUUUAUAAUAAUCUAUUAUAUAUUCAAAAGAGAGGAGUUUGAAGGUUCCUAACACAAAUGAGCGAUGAAUGUGUAAGGAGUAUAUGUGUGUGUGUGUGUGUAUGUGUGUGUGUGUGUGUGUGUGUGUGUGUGUGCAAGAGAGGAAACCUAGAGCCUUGUCAGAUGGAUGAAUUCCAGUGUCUUAAUUACUACACCACUCCAUACCCAAAGCAGAGUGUGAGACAAGCCCUUCAACACGAGAAUUUUCAGGUGGAUAUCCAGGAGAAGAAAAGGGUUUCCUGUGUCUAGGUUUCCAGUGGGGCAUCUUGGAGGAUUUUGUAGUAAAGAUGGUUCAGAACUGCUCCUGGGAUUCCUUAGAACACGACGUAUGGUAAACAAGAGGGAUGCCCACAGACUAAAUAGGCUGCUGAGCCUUUGUAUAGACUCUCAGACAGUAAGCAAAGAGCUGCUGGGGCCCUACUGCCUGCUGACAAGUCUCAGCUACACUGAAAUUGGGAGACAGAUCAGCCCUCAACAGAGGACCCAGUGCAGGCCACAACCGACAUCUGCUAGACUCAAAACCCAGUGUUGACUGAGAAAAAGAAACCCCAGGGACGUCUGUAUGACCAGUACAUCUUCAUAAAAGUCAAAGGGCAUAGCUUGUAUGGCAAUGAAUACAGUCCUGGGCAGUUGAGGGUAAGCUAGUUAGGAAGGGUGUAACACAGGAGGGGCAGGAAGCAAGUUUGCUCGUCUGAAAGCCUGCAAGCCUGCAUCAAGGUGUAGCUGCAGAUAAAACCGUGGGCUAAAGAGUAUGGCUGAUUGGUGGGUGUUUUGAAGCCUGCCUUCUAAUUUUUGAAGUUAGUUGAAGUUAACACACAGAGUGAUGGGCUUCCUCAUGGGAUUUUCGUAUGUAUAUGUUAUUACAAUUUAUCCUCAUUCACCCCCUCUCCCAGUACCUUCCCACAUAUUCCUGUUCCCUUCUUGCAGUUCUCCCUCCUUCUCUGCUUUCAUAUUGCCUGUAUUACUUUGCUUUCCCCCCUGCGGUUUAUGGUUUCUUUCUUCUUUCUCAUGGAAUCCUGUCUACUUUCGUGACCCCUGCCACCCCCCCCCCACUUACACACCCUCUAAAUGUAAAUCCCACACAUAGGGGGGAAUGAGCAGUACUGACUUCCUGAGUCUGCCUAAUUUCCCUUUACAUAAAAGGCUCCAGUUCCAUUCACGGAUCUUCUCAUCUGUACUGGUUGAGAGAGCAAGCUUUUAAGAAAAGUGGUGAUGGGGUCAAAUUGCAGGAGUCACUGUUGUACCGGGCACUGGAGGAAAAGUCCUUUCUUUGCCACGACAGUAGACAGUUCCCUCGCUGCUGGGGAGCCUCUCCUUUCUACACCCUUGCUUUAUCAGGGAUGGGCAGACAGGGCGUGGCUUGUUUGUUUUUAGGGACCGCCAGAAGGCCAUCUGUGGGGCAGAGGGAGGUCUUGGCUUUGAGGCUCUGGUCAUCAGUCUAGAACAUGAACUUUUCCCAGACCCAUCUUUUGGGAUGUUCCUGGCAUUCUUGGCUGAUGUUGGAUCACCCUGCCUGUGGGGAGAUGGUAUUCCCAGCUAGGAGGCUCCAGCUUUUCCACUAAAGGACAAAGAUCCCGUAUCCCAAAUGUGGUCUGUGUUGGAACACUGAAUCUGUUAAAAGAAUACGU